rnacentral:rRNA from 1 species
AGUCGUGUUGCUUGAUAGUGCAGCACUAAGUGGGUGGUAAACUCCAUCUAAAACUAAAUAUAACCAUGAGACCGAUAGUAAACAAGUACCGUGAGGGAAAGUUGAAAAGAACUCUGAAUAGAGAGUUAAAAAGUACGUGAAACUGCUUAGAGGUUAAGCCCGAUGAACCUGAAUAUCCAUUAUGGAAAAUUCAUCGUUACGAUUUCUAUAUGUAUAAUAUAGUGAUUAUGGCGUGCAUUUUUUCUAUAUAAGGACAUUGUAAUCUAUUAACAUACACAAUUUAUCAUAAGAUCGUUGGCGAAAGUUUAUUCAAAUUAGUAUGCUUGCGUAUUAAUAUGGAAUAAGUGCUGUCGAUUGGAUAAAGUGUUGAUAGAUCUAUUAUAUAUAGCGCUUGAAUACUUAUAUUCUAUAAUGGCACAUUAAUCUUGAUUUUUGUGUUUAUUAUAUGCGCUUAUAUGAUUUACAAUGCGAAAGAUUCAGGAUACCUUCGGGACCCGUCUUGAAACACGGACCAAGGAGUCUAACAUAUUUGCAAGUUAUUGGGAAUUUAAACCUAAUAGCGAAAUUAACAUAACUUUAAUGGGAUUAGUUUUUAGUCUAUUUAUAGUCUAUUAAUUCA